ensembl:lncRNA
CAGAGGGACAUGACACUAACAUGUUAUAAAUGCUGGUGAAGGACCAGAGGGACAGGAGACAGACAUGUUAUAAAUGCUGGUGAAGGACCAGAGAGACACAGACAUGCUAUAAAUGCUGGUGAAGGACCAGAGGGACACAGACAUGUUAUAAAUGCUGGUGAAGGACCAGAGGGACACAGACAUGUUAUAAAUGCUGGUGAAGGACUAGAGGGACACAGACAUGUUAUAAAUGCUGGUGAAGGAACAGAGGGAAAGGUCUCAGACAUGUUAUAAAUGCUGGUGAAGCCCCAGAGGGACACAGACAUGUUAUAAAUGCUGGUGAAGGACCAGAGGGACACAGACAUGUUAUAAAUGCUGUUGAAGGACUAGAGGGACACAGACAUGUUAUAAAUGCUGGUGAAAGACCAGAGGGAUACAGACAUGUUAUAAAUGCUGGUGAAGGACCAGAGGGACACAUACAUGUUAUAAAUGCUGUUGAAGGACUAGAGGGACACAGACAUGUUAUAAAUGCUUGUGAAAGACCAGAGGGAUACAGACGUGUUAUAAAUGCUGGUGAAGGACCAGAGGGACACAGACAUGUUAUAAAUGCUGGUGAAGAACUAGAGGGACACAGACAUGUUAUAAAUGCUGG